rnacentral:rRNA from 1 species
CACAUGCAAGUCGAGGGGUAGCAGGGUAGCAAUACCGCUGACGACCGGCGCACGGGUGAGUAACACGUAUCCAACCUACCGUUUACUCGGAGAUAGGCUUUCGAAAAAAAGAUUAAUAUCCGAUGGUAUAAAGAAUUCGCAUGUUUUCUUUAUUAAAGAAUUUCGAUAAACGAUGAGGAUGCGUUCCAUUAGAUAGUUGGUGAGGUAACGGCUCACCAAGUCUUCGAUGGAUAGGGGUUCUGAGAGGAAGGUCCCCCACAUUGGAACUGAGACACGGUCCAAACUCCUACGGGAGGCAGCAGUGAAAAAUAUUGGUCAAUGGGCGUAAGCCUGAACCAGCCAAGUAGCGUGAAGGAUGACUGCCCUAUGGGUUGUAAACUUCUUUUAUAAGGGAAUAAAGUGGAGAACGUGUUCUCCUUUGUAUGUACCUUACGAAUAAAAAUCGGCUAACUCCGUGCCAGCAGCCGCGGUAAUACGAAGGAUCCAAGCGUUAUCCGAAUUUAUUGGGUUUAAAGGGUGCGUAGGCGGAAAGAUAAGUCAAUUGUAAAAGUUUGAGGCUCAACCUUAAAAUUGCAGUUGAUACUGUUUUUCUUGAGUGUACGAGAGGUGGGCGGAAUUCGUGGUGUAGCGGUGAAAUGCUUAGA